UUUCAGGUCAGUUAGCUCAAGGAGGGCCCCCAUAUACCAUUCUAUCCAAGAUUCGGGCUGGAACUGCAACAGCCUCCUCUGGAAAUCUUGUCUCAUAAUAACGGAGAAGAACUACGCAGUCUUCUCGUGCCCAGCUCUCCAAAGGUUGGAAAGAAAUGAGGUGAAUGCCAUGGCCCAUGCAUGAACUUUCUGAGCAGCGAUUUUAGCCAUCUGUGCCGAGUUCCAAGUCUCUACGCCUUAAGAAGAUUGCAAACCGACAUUCGCAAAGGUACUUGCUCGGGCUACUGGUACUCCAUUGAGUUGCUAUGUAGCACAAGUGUGCUAUAUAUCUGCGUGGACGCACGGUUACCCUAUAUCAUACAUUUCAUGUCUUUCUUUAUUAAAAAAUUCAGUUGAAAAUUGAAA